ACUUGCCUGGCAUGUGGGUCCCUGGGUCCAAUCCCCAACACUGCAAAUAAUGAUGAUAAUGUGGCCCAAACUGCCCAUCGUCCCCGCUCUACCCUGACUUCUCCCUCUUGUGUUUCAUUCCAUCUUGCAGUGGACUGCAGCAAUAAGCUAUCCAAGACACCUGGAGUCCUUUCAUGCCCUGCACCCAUGCAGACCACCUUUACCUAAGCAUCAGUCCAGUCCGGGACUGUGGUUACAGGUCAAGAAAGUGACAUUUGCACUGAGACCAGAAUGAAAUGAGGCACUAUCCCAGUGACCACAUGGGGGGAGAGCAUUCUGCACAAGUCCAGAGCACAGGUGUUAACUUGAGGCACUGCAGCAGAGGAGGCCCAGGAGCCAUGGCGGAGUGGGGAGAAGAGUAAGUUGGGGUGUGGGAGACAGAUGGCAGAGUCCACUGCCCAGACUUGGCUUUUCUCCCAGUGAGAUGGGAGUAUUGGAGGAUUCUAAGUGACCUAGGCCCCUGGCUGCAUUUGGAGCAGGGACCAGGAGUAGCUGCUGCAAGAAUCAGCAGAUGAUGGUGGCUGGAUCCAUGUGGUGGUGGUGGUGAAAUCUGGGUUAGGUAUUGAAGGCAAUGUGAAAGCAAGAGGGGAGCAUGGGUCAGUGGAGGUAUCCCCACUGAGCUGGGGGAAGACUGCAGGAGGAGAGCUGGGGGAGACAUGUUUAUGACCCGUGCUUUGUCUAGGCCUGAGAUUCCAAGUUCUAGCGUCAUGCAUAGGUACAGAAAGUGCCAGUCCUCAGGCAACUUCAGGAAAUGAAGUAGGAUGUACCUCAAAUGCUGUUAAGUAACAGAGAGUACCUGAUGAUGGCAGUUAAUCUGAUGUCCACAAUGCAUGGGGGCUGGGGUUGUGGCAGAGCACUUGACUGGCAUGUGUGAGGCAUUUGUUCAGUCUUCACCGCAUAAAAAUAAAUAGAUGUGUCCAUCUAUAACUAAAAGAUCUCUUUUUAAAAUGCCUGUGGAUUGAACUUCGUUGAAAUGUCUUAGUAAAUUUGUACAUUUAUUUUAAAUAAAUACAUUAAACAUA